rnacentral:misc_RNA from 1 species
AACGCACCUUGCGCUCUCUGGUAUUCCGGAGAGCAUGCCUGUUUGAGUGUCAUGAACUCUUCAACCCACCGGUUCCUUGUUGGACCGAGUUGGUGUUUGGAUUUUGAGUGCUGCUUUUGAUUAAGCUCUCUCGUAAUACAUUAGCAUCUCAAUUUCGUAAUCGGAUUGACUCAGCGUAAUAGACUAUUCGCUGAGGACACUUUUUACUAAGUGGCCGAGAAUGAAAAAGUUAGAAGCUUCCAACCCUUCUAGUCAUUUUUAGAUUAGACCUCAGAUCAGGCAGGAUUACCCGCUGAACUUAA